UAUGUUAUUGGAAACUUCAUUCCACCAUUAUUGGAUAUUAUUGUUCGAUUGGUAUCAGUCAUCGUUAACUAAUUUGAACAGGAUAUAUAUAAUAUAGAUCACACCAAAAAUGGAACAAUUGAAUAUGGAAAAAAAUUUCGAACGCUAUUUGAUCGAAACAAAUUAAGCGCAACGGCUGUUAUAAAUUUCAUCUUGACGAACGAUAAAAUCGCCGCUACAACCGCACUCGAUUUGAUUGGAUUUUUUCCUACCUCUAUUAAUAAUAGUCACGUUCAACACUGUUCACGUUACGUGUUGAAAAAUAUUAAAUUGAGCAUCCAGACCUUUUAAAAUUCAUACGUAUUCUAUGCGGUAAAGAACAAGAAAAACUGGAACUGUAAAUGAAAUGUAAUAAAAGAAUUAUCACGAAUAAUUGUGAAAAACAACAACUCAAAAUAAUUUCUUUAAAAUAAUGAAACAAAGGUAUUUAGUUGAUUCAUUUGACACGCUAUUGAAAAAGUAGCAAGCGCAUUGACGAUUGUUAAUAGGCUCUCCCGACAAUACCGAUUCUUUUUAAUUUCGAUAAAACGGUAGAUAAAUACAACUCGUUCGCUGAAUCGUUCAAUUUAAUUAAAAGCCUUUUCGUGUGUGCAAUUUUCUUCAAUUAGCGAAACGGCUCCCUUUAAACACGCUCCUUUCACGAGUGUAUCACUCUAUCUUCGUUACAAUUUAUCGAACGUUCUACUGGUAAUUAUGCGCCUUUAUGACUUGCUCGCCCGGCUAAUACGUCACGUUUGCGCGCGAAAUUUUUAUUCUAACGAUCUCGUGUAUCGUGUACAACAUUUCGGAACACGAGCUCGCCACAAUCCAUGACGGCACUACUCGAUCUACAUUAAUUGGCGUCAUUAUUGCUCUGUCCAUUUUUUGGGAUAAACCGAUUUUCCGUCUCUCGUUCCGCAUUAAACCGUGCACGCUUGUUUUUGUACUUUUUAUGUCUCGAGUGGUUUUCCUUAAAACCCUGUU